GAUUGAACGCUGGCGGCAGGCCUAACACAUGCAAGUCGAGCGGCAGCAGGCCNUCCGGGGUGCUGGCGAGCGGCGGACGGGUGAGUAAUGCAUGGGAACUUACCCAGUAGUGGGGGAUAGCCCGGGGAAACCCGGAUUAAUACCGCAUACGCCCUGAGGGGGAAAGCGGGCUCCGGCUCGCGCUAUUGGAUGGGCCCAUGUCGGAUUAGUUUGUUGGUGAGGUAACGGCUUACCAAGGCGACGAUCCGUAGCUGGUCUGAGAGGAUGAUCAGCCACACCGGGACUGAGACACGGCCCGGACUCCUACGGGAGGCAGCAGUGGGGAAUAUUGGACAAUGGGGGCAACCCUGAUCCAGCCAUGCCGCGUGUGUGAAGAAGGCCUUUGGGUUGUAAAGCACUUUCAGCAGGGAGGAAAAGCUGGUCGCUAAUACCGGUCAGUGUUGACGUUACCUGCAGAAGAAGCACCGGCUAACUCCGUGCCAGCAGCCGCGGUAAUACGGAGGGUGCAAGCGUUAAUCGGAAUUACUGGGCGUAAAGGGCGCGUAGGCGGUUUGAUAAGCGGGUUGUGAAAGCCCCGGGCUCAACCUGGGAAUUGCAAUCCGAACUAUCAGGCUAGAGUGCAGCANAAGGGCAGUGGAA
rnacentral:rRNA from 1 species